rnacentral:rRNA from 1 species
GAUGAACGCUGGCGGCGUGCCUAAUACAUGCAAGUCGAACGAACAGAUAAGGAGCUUGCUCCUUUGACGUUAGCGGCGGACGGGUGAGUAAAACGUGGAUAACCUACCUAUAAGACUGGGAUAACUUCGGGAAACCGGAGCUAAUACCGGAUAAACUAUUGAACCGCAUGGUUCAAUAGUGAAAGGCGGCUUUGCUGUCACUUAUAGAAGGAUCCGCGCCGUAUUAGCUAGUUGGUAAGGUAACGGCUUACCAAGGCAACGAUACGUAGCCGACCGGAGAGGGUGAUCGCCCACACUGGAACUGAGACACGGUCCAGACUCCUCCGGGAGGCGGCGUUAGGGAAUCUUCCGCAAUGGGCGAAAGCCUGCCGGAGCACCGCCGCGUGAUUGAGGAAGGUCUUCGGAUCGUAAACCUCUGUUAUCAGGGAAGAACAAAUGUGUAAGUAACUGUGCACAUCUUGACGGUACCUGAUCAGAAAGCCACGGCUAACUACGUG